rnacentral:lncRNA from 1 species
GUUGUACUGUGGGAAAGAACAAAUAAAUGUUUUUUUCUUCUUUACUUCUUUGCACAGUCUUCUUUCUCUCUCCAUGAACACAGACACGAAUUCUCUCUAGUUUCUCCAGGGGGUGAUAACAGCAAGGCUCCUUCCCUCUGGAAACAUAUACAAUUUUGCUGGAGUAAUAAAAACACUGAAGAGGAGAGCCAGCAGCAGACGCAGGUAAGUAAAUUGCUAGCCAUUGAACCUAAAUUACUUUCUAAAUUAUUAUUUUGACAGUGUGCACAUUUUGUAGUGUUAGAAGGAACCUGUAGUCUUUAACUAUGUUCCACUGUUUGCAUUAUUUCUACUUGUCCAAUCCAGUGAUUUUGUUUCUUUGUUUUUUUUUUUCUCAUCCCACAGGACUGACUUUGAUUUUAUUUUCUUACCUCUGUGGAAAGCGAAGCAGUAAAAUCUUUCAAGAGCCCUGUAUCUGGGUAUCCUGCUGCUGCCUUCAGCCCCAUCUCCUGAGCAGUCGGAGUGUGGCUUCACAGUCUUUUCAAGUUGUUCAGAAUCAGUUUCCAGUGUGCAAAUGCUAUUUAGAAGCAUGAAGACAGCUCUGAGAAAAGAAACAGUUUUGCAUCAACAUGGGACACAGCUCAUAUUCUCUUUUACAUCAGAUGUCAUUGCUAAUCCAUCAGCAAAGUAGAAGACAAGCACAGGGAGAGGACACAGGUCAUAAACAGCACCAGGGGCAACUUCUGGAGACUUUUUGCAUGCUGAGAAUAAACAGUAACCAGAUAGUUGAGGCUCUUGCUGUGCAGCUGUCCCUUUGUCUGGGAAUGGAUGUGGGAACAAAGAUCACUAAAUGCCCCGACACCCGCUUAAGAAGCAUAUUUUGCGUAGAUGGAUAUUAGCAAUUCAAAAGCUAAAUUGAGAUCUAAACAAGGUCAUUUGCUUGUCAGACUAUUUUUGACAUAGGCAGUGUUUAAUUCAAGAAGCAGAAGGGCUGGGAUAAACAAAUGCAACCCUAAAUGGGCAGCUGGCUGCAGAGUGGUUUUGAAGCAGAUUCAUCCCAAAGGGCAGCCUGCUUGUACCCUCACCCAGAACAGAAAGGCAGAGGCCAGCCCUUUCCAUGAUGUUUUAGUAGUGGGGAACUCAAACCAUUUCUGUUCCACUAGCAAGGAAAGAAAAAAGGAAAGGCAAAUACAAGAGAUGUUAAUUUAAAAUACAAUAUGCAUAUAUGUGUAUGCAAAUUAGAUGAGAUCCUCGGUGUGUCCGAGUUAAAGCAAUGUUUUAUAAACUGUAAUCUGCUUUUUGUAGAAUUCCUUAAUUCCAGUGAGUAUUACAAAAUAUAUGUGGCGUGAAUAAAACCUGAGCUUCCUUAUAAUUUAGUAGUGAA